rnacentral:rRNA from 1 species
AUUGAACGCUGGCGGCAGGCUUAACACAUGCAAGUCGAACGGUAGCACRARGGAGCUUGCUCCUUGGGUGACGAGUGGCGGACGGGUGAGUAAUGCUUGGGAAUCUGGCUUAUGGAGGGGGAUAACUACGGGAAACUGUAGCUAAUACCGCGUAAUAUCUUCGGAUUAAAGUGUGGGACCGCAAGGCCACAUGCCAUGAGAUGAGCCCAAGUGGGAUUAGGUAGUUGGUGGGGUAAAGGCCUACCAAGCCGACGAUCUCUAGCUGGUCUGAGAGGAUGACCAGCCACACUGGAACUGAGACACGGUCCAGACUCCUACGGGAGGCAGCAGUGGGGAAUAUUGCACAAUGGGGGGAACCCUGAUGCAGCCAUGCCGCGUGAAUGAAGAAGGCCUUCGGGUUGUAAAGUUCUUUCGGUAGCGAGGAAGGUAUCAAAUUUAAUAGAUUUGGUAAUUGACGUUAACUACAGAAGAAGCACCGGCUAACUCCGU